AUGAGUCCUUAUGAUUUAUUUGCUUCUACCUUGCAUUACAUGAUGCCAUCACUUAAGAUUGAUUUGAAAAAACAUUUACUUGGAUAUGAUGAUACAUACACUGUUGGUGGCAUUGCUCUCAUUUGUGAUGAUCACAAUUACUUUCCUCAUGCUAGUCUUGAGAUUAAUGAUAAAUGUCAUCCUCGUGUGAGUAUUGACCACGCUGAUUUCUGCCAUCCUAAACAUGUGCUUUAUAGUUAUGCUUAUAUAAUUGGAUAUUCCAUUGAUGACUUGGAGGACAUCGACCGCAUCACUUGUAGUUGUUUGUGUGAGUCCUAUUUCAGGCUUUUGCUACUGCACUGUUAA
rnacentral:rRNA from 1 species